rnacentral:rRNA from 1 species
AGUAACGCGUGAGUAACCUGCCUUUCAGAGGGGGAUAACGUUCUGAAAAGAACGCUAAUACCGCAUGAGACUACAGAGCUGCAUGGCUCAGUGGUCAAAGGAGCAAUCCGCUGAAAGAUGGACUCGCGUCCGAUUAGAUAGUAGGCGGGGUAACGGCCCACCUAAUCGACGAUCGGUAGCCGGACUGAGAGGUUGAACGGCCACAUUGGGACUGAGACACGGCCCAGACUCCUACGGGAGGCAGCAUG